rnacentral:siRNA from 1 species
UCUGUGAGUGCCUCAUACA